GAGCUUGUGAAUUAAAUCCAUGGUCAACAAUUUUUUUUUUCUUAAAAGGAUAUCAAUUUUAUAAUUGAAGAAAGAUGUUUGAAUAGGGCAUCAUCUGUACAUUGGUGUAAUUUUCAAUUGUUUAAAGAUAUAAGAAGAUGUGGUAUGAUUGCCAAUAAGAUAACUCUUCAUCCACGUCACAAUUUGUAAAAGUAAACCACA
rnacentral:lncRNA from 1 species